GGGAGCAGACAGUCUGUCCCAGGCCUUCCAGAGGGGAAGGUCAGUCUCCAAAGGUGGGAGACUAGCACCAGGGACAGCGCAGUGCUGGGCAGACCAGGGGAACAGAAGGGAACUCCAGCCCGGUAUCUGACAGGCUGCAGGUCCUGAGGGGAAGGGCCUAGCUGGUAUGAGGGGCCGAAGGGGAAGUGGCCCAGGGAUGUGGACAGAUGGAGGGAGAGGAGGAGGGCAGGACGGCUGCCACUAGAGGGUCCCUGGAUUGGGACCCAGAGUAGAGGGCGGGCCUGGAUCCAUCCCUUCCCGCCUUGCAGUACACCCCGCCAUCGGCUGUGGGGAGCAGCCAGAACAGACCACGCCAGAUCCCUGAGAGGGAUUAGACUUUGGGGGGGGGUGGUUGUACAUGGUGGCUGGGGUGCAGAGAGACUGCUGAUCAACCCCCUCCUCUCCCGGAAGGGGGUGUGGAUGGACUAAGGGGCACUGCCAGAGGGCAGUGGUCUGGAAGAGGACGCUGCAAACUGAAGAGCGACGUGGGCUCAGACGCCAACCGAGGGCGAGACAACGGACGGGACGCCACCAGGAGAGGGUGUUCCACUGGACUGAGCUAAUUCCUGGAGCAACCAGCCGGAGGCGCUGUGGUGCAGGCACCAGUCAUCUCUGGCAGAAGCCCCUAGCUUCACCAUCCCACCACAGGGCAGAAGCCCUGAGCUCCCCCUCUCCCAGUCUGAAGAAGAAAGCUUGGCAGUACAAGACACAAAUUACUGGGGGAAAGUUGGAGAGUGGAGUUUGCUGGUGUUGCCCUGCAGUGUAAUUCAUGGCAACAUGAUUUUGCAAGGAACAGCAACUACAACUACAGAAGCAUCCUAAUCCACAUAGCAGCACGAGCAUCUGGCGCAACUGUGAGCACCGCUCCAUCAGUAUACAAAAUGAGAAUCCUUCCCCGCAAUGUCUUUUGAACAUCUAUUGCUAAUGGCUUCAGGGAAGGAACCCUACUGGAGGCAAAAGUAGAUUUCCUUUUUUAGCCUUUUCCCACCCGUACAAGCUGUGAACCGUGAACUUUGUGACCUACUAGUAUGGUUUAUAGUAAAGUUGGCAGCUGGAAGUUAAUGGCAAUUUUAAUUGUGAAAGAUGCCAUUCUCUCCAAUUAGGAGAAAAAGGGAACUGUUGAGACAGUGAAGCAACAGACCUGGUGAAGAGGUCGUUCUUCUGUGUUAUCUAAUGAGUAAAUAUUGCUUUAGUCCAAUUAGAGAGGUUGGCCUGUUUAAGCUGCGAAGCUCAGUACUUCUAGAUAAAACCAAGACCUGUUUCCUGAUGUGCCUUCUACAGCAAGACAGUAGGAAGAGAUGUUUGGUCAAUGCUCCGGCACUAUGUAAAUAUGAUUCUCCAUUAGUCCUGGCAUGUUUAACAAACAAAAGCUGAAAAGUUAUUGCAAAACUCCCCACAGAUGUUCAUAGGUGGUCUAUUAGCAAAAGUGAUAAUGUGCAAUUUCAUUUGGACAGUCUGUUAAGAGCUUUUUAAUAGGCUAAGAACUAAUUCCCUAAGAGAUGCAGGGCCUGCCCCUUACUUACUAAGAACCUGAAAACUGCUGUUUGGCAAAAACAAUCAAGUCAAUGUGCUGAUUUACCUUCAUUUGAUGCUAUUUGUGCCACAACUGCACAUGCAUUAAGAAGA